GAUGAACGCUAGCGGCAGGCUUAAUACAUGCAAGUCGAGGGGCAUCAAGGUACACGAAAGUGUAUUGUUGGCGACCGGCGGACGGGUUGAGUAAUAGGUAGGUAACCUACCUCAUACUGAGGCAUAGCUGGGAGAAAUUCCAGGUAAUUCCUCAUGAGGUUAUAUGACACAUGUGAUAUAAUCAAAGGUAUCGCAAGGUACUGGUAUGAGAUGGGCUUACUGACCAUUAGCUAGUUGGUGAGAUAAGAGCUCACCAAGGCGAAGAUGGUUAGGGGUUUUGAGAGAGAGAUCCCCCACAUUGGAACUGAGAUACGGUCCAGACUCCUACGGGAGGCAGCAGUAGGGAAUAUUGGGCAAUGGGCGGAAGCCUGACCCAGCCAUGCCGCGUGAGGGAAGAAGGCCUUCGGGUUGUAAACCUCUGUCAUGGGGGAAGAAGUAAGUGACGGUACCCCAAGAGGAAGCCCCUGCUAACUACGUG
rnacentral:rRNA from 1 species